rnacentral:rRNA from 1 species
GACGUAGGGCGCGAGCGUUGUUCGGAUUCAUUGGGCGUAAAGGGUGCGUAGGUGGCGCCGUAAGUCGGGUGUGAAAUUUCGGAGCUUAACUCCGAAACUGCAUUCGAUACUGCGGUGCUUGAGGACUGGAGAGGAGACUGGAAUUCAUGGUGUAGCAGUGAAAUGCGUAGAGAUCAUGAGGAAGACCAGUGGCGAAGGCGGGUCUCUGGACAGUUCCUGACACUGAGGCACGAAGGCCAGGUGAGCAAACGGG